UGGUCCUGUCUUGCACUUUCUAGAACCGGGAGGAGAGCAAGGCAUGCGACGUUUUUCCUACCAAUUGGCUCUCGUCGUACGCCAUCGCUGCAUGAGGUGAGGCCGUGGUGAGGAUCCCGCGCCACCUCGCUCUCGGAUGCCUCCGCCCCGUCCGUUGCAGAUGGCGACUGGCGGCUAGGGUUUUCUGCACGAGGUAAAGAUCUUGCGCCGCCUCAAAUCAGAUUUCUGUUGUGCCCCUUUCUUAGGAUCUGGAUGAGGUAGGCGAGGUAGAGGAGGCCAAAACAUGGGCCAAGGCGGUGAUGCUCCUCAUCAUGUGCGGCGAUCACCACGCAUCUGGCGAGGCCAUCAAGGAUGUGCUUUCAGUCUUUCACCUAGGAGCUUGGCGAUGACUACCAGGUAAACUAAAAAAUACCAACCCUGAGCAUGCAGUUUUGCCAUUACAAACAUGUUUUUUUUUGUUUACAACAAUCUGCUCAUUUUUUCUGUCAAAGCACUCAGUACGUCAAAAAAAAGUAUAGCCUUGAACAUGCAUCCAGAUAUUAUACUAUGUUAUCAUCAUGAAAAUAUGGUUGCCUACAUCUAUUAAUGUGAGGUAAGCUAGAACUAAGUCCUCAUUUGAAACGGUACUCACCUCAAUUUAGUUGUUUUACUUGAGAGCUAUUUAGUUGAAAGACUCAUCACCACACAGUUUAACUAUGAGCAACCUUUAUUUAAUCAUUACAGUCUACGAGUACUUAUUUAGGCUAAGGGUGUUGAGACCUCGGCAUAGUAAAUAGUAAUCUUAGAUAAGUUCAUCUGGUGACUCUAGCAAACUCCUUAUCAUGAUUUAUGGGGUGGAUAGAACAACACAAACCUCUAUAUUAAUUGUAUAUUUUUUAUUAGCAAAGUUGGUAAGAUGGUAAGCUCAUCACGAGAACCCUUCCCAAUGUAUAUAUUUUAUUUGCUAUUAGUUGCCCAUUACUAUUACUAUAUAUUAUAGCGUGGAAAAAAUCCCGUUAACAAAAAAAAAGAAUUUUUGGCAUGGGAUCCAACAAAGCCUCAACUAUCUCACUGACUGGUCGUUGCUUACUUCCUGUUCCACUGCAAAUCGUAAUGGUGCUUACCUAUUUCGUUACAUAACCUCUAUAAUCUAGAAUGUGUUUGAUUGACUGCUUCUAAUUCCCUUUUGCCCUAAAAUUGGUUUAAUGUCUGUCUACUUCAUCUGUGAUGAUUCUGUUUUAUAAGUACGCCAUGCUUCAUUUGGUUCACCAAGUUAUCUGCUGGCGUAAUCUUUUUACUUCCAUGGAUGCGUCUUAUUGCCCGCUCCUAAUACCCUGUUGCCCUAAAAAUUGGUGUUAAUGUUUGCCUGCUUCAUCUGUGAUAAUCCUAUUUUACAAGUAUGUCGUGCUUCAUUUGGUUCAUCAAUUUACCUGCUGUUCUAAUCCUAAGUCACCAUAAUAUCAACAUUGCACAAUAAGUCCUAUGUGAUAUCUGACCAUUUCAUAACAUCAAAAGCCAUUCUUUUUAAACAAUUGCAUUCUACAGCGGUACAGCCUGAAUCAUUCAAUUAAAUUGUUGUACCAUAACUGAUGUUUUGUGCAGAUUCUUUGUUUCGCUAAGUUCAACGAAAUUUUUUUAAGGGGACAAGUAGAGUUGGACAAAAGGGUAAUUCAUUUCAGUUGGUUUUAGUUACUAAAUUAACACCUCAUAAAAAACUUAAACAGAAACAAAUCAAACACAUGUGAGUGCCUUAGGCAUGUCGUCAGUUUAAUUACUUAUAGCAAAAUAAAUGUUUACAUACAUUGCUCUGCAAUUACUAACCUGCCCUUUAAUUGAUCUUGCAUGCUGCGCCACCAAACGGCCGUUAUGAAACUAUGUUUCAUCAAGCUGCACCCAUUUCAACUGCAAGACCAUAUGUUUUAUUUCUUGACAUAUGAUUGUGAUGUCCUAAUUAUUCGUUGAAUUGUAUUUAUUUUUGUUAUUGACGCAUGUUACUUGAGGACUGCUUCAUUUACUGUUUUAUUUAAAUGUUUUAUCACUAUUUAUAUCUAAAAUGUAUUUUGAAUUGUUAUUUUGAAAUCUAACUUGUACCUUAUUUUAAGACCUUCAUUCUCACUGGACUCAUUUUAUAUCAUUUCAAAAGCAAGAAAAAUGUAAGGAUGCUGAACUUAGUGCAAUAGAUCUUUUAAAGGACAUGCAUUGCAACAAAAAGAAAGGUUUUAGUGAAAAUAUUGAGAAAGCUAUUGUAAGUGCUUGUUUUCCUUUCAUGUUUGUACUCACAACUUGCAACUUCUGGUAUACUAUACUGAUGAAUAACCUUUAACCUUUAUAUUAGGUUGACAUGGAAGAAAUAAUGGUAGCACCAAUUUAGGAUGGAUAACAACCAAAAUAUCCUACAAAAGUUGUUUCUAGUAUCAUACCGGGCUCCAGUGUGUUCCUAUGCAAUGUUGGUCUUCGGUCUGCAUCCAAGAAAAGCUCCAUAGCGUCAAUUUCUGCAAAGGUUCAACAACUUUAGGAUGAACUUGAGAUCAAGAAGCAAGAAAUAUUUGUAGUGAACAAAUUCAUGCGAUAUUUUGGUUGUGAUGUGUAAUAUUCCUUGACGAUAUGAAUGCUUAUGAUGUGUUCCUUCUAAUGACUAUUGUAUCUAUCACAAAUGCUUUGGCACAUCACUGCCAUGUCAUCAUAUUUUAUGAUGAAAAUAUUCGUCACAAAUGUAUUGCCAUAGAAGCGGCCACCAGUCCACC
rnacentral:lncRNA from 1 species